rnacentral:tRNA from 1 species
GCCCCUAUAGCUCAUUGGUAGAGCGUCAGUCUUGUAAACGAGUAGUUCGAUCCUGCAUGGCGGCA